CCCUAUGGGGUGCAGGACAUUAUAGCCCCGCAUCAUCUUAUAGCGGGCAACUACGUCGCCUAUGGUAUAGUUGCGCACAUGGCCCAUGUGAAUGCGGCCUGAAGGGUAGGGGAACAUCUCGAGCAGAUAAUAUUUUUCUUUGCCGGUAUCUUCACCGACUUUGAAUGUCUUUGUAUCGCUCCAGUAUUUCUGCCAUUUUUCCUCGAUGGCGUGAGGGGUAUAUGCUGCGGUGUCCAUGGUCUUGGUGCCUGAAAGUAGAAAAUUCAACUGUUUGAGAAUGCUUUAAUUUUUGAUUUUUAACACAGUUUGGCGGGAGAGC
rnacentral:rRNA from 1 species